CCUACGGGAGGCAGCAGUGAGGAAUAUUGGUCAAUGGACGAGAGUCUGAACCAGCCAAGUAGCGUGAAGGAUGACUGCCCUAUGGGUUGUAAACUUCUUUUAUAAAGGAAUAAAACGAGGCACGUGUGCCUUUUUGCAUGUACUUUAUGAAUAAGGAUCGGCUAACUCCGUGCCAGCAGCCGCGGUAAUACGGAGGAUCCGAGCGUUAUCCGGAUUUAUUGGGUUUAAAGGGAGCGUAGAUGGGUUGUUAAGUUAGUUGUGAAAGUUUGCGGCUCAACCGUAAAAUUGCAAUUGAUACUGGCAGUCUAGAGUACAGUUGAGGUAAGCGGAAUUCGUGGUGUAGCGGUGAAAUGCUUAGAGAUCACGAAGAACCCCGAUUGCGAAGGCAGCUUACUAAGCUAUGACUGACAUUGAUGCUCGAAAGUGUGGGUAUCAAACAGGAUUAGAUACCCGUGUAGUC
rnacentral:rRNA from 1 species